UGUCAAGGGGCAAAGCUAUCCAGUCAUCCGAAGGCAGUGACGAGUCCGACCGCCAAGGCGACUCAGAAGAUGAGGACCCAAGCUUUCAGGUGCUUAGGAUGUCGUAGAUGUUUGAUGCUCCCCUAGGAACGCAGACUCAGGGUGAAUCGAGUCAGGCACCUCAGGAUGCACCCGCUUCUCCUCCGCGUCGCCGACAAAGGCGUUCUCGUGACCACACCGACGUUGGUAGCGCGAACAUGCUCGCAACAGUUCCUGGAAGGCAACGGCGGCCCACCGACCCUUUCAGCCCUGCCGAGCGUGGAUGGCGCCAUAGAUGAAGGAGCACCGACACUUUGUUCCUAGAUGUAUUGUAAAAAUGCUACCUAGAACCUAUUUGUGCUUGUCAUGAACUAUUUGUGCUUGUCAUGGACCACUUUAGGUUGAGAUGGACAAGAUCCUUGUAAUGGACUACUGUAGGUUCCAAUGGACUAUGUGCUUGUGUGCUGACGGCUC